rnacentral:rRNA from 1 species
UUUGACGUUACCUACAGAAGAAGCACCGGCUAACUACCGUGCCAGCAGCCGCGGUAAUACGGAGGGUGCGAGCGUUAAUCGGAAUUACUGGGCGUAAAGACGCAUGCAGGCGGCCUCGUUAAGUCAGAUGUGAAAGCCCGGGGCUUAACCUCGGAAUUGCAUUUGAAACUGGCAGGCUAGAGUCUUGUAGAGGGGGGUAGGAAUUUCAGGUGUAGCGGUGAAAUGCGUAGAGAUCUGAAGGAAUACCAGUGGCGAAGGCGGCCCCCUGGACAAAGACUGACGCUCAGAUGCGAAAGCGUGGGGAGCAAACAGGAUUAGAUACCCUGGUAG